AUGUUUCGGAAAGGAUACCGGAACGUCAAGUGGGCAAGCUGGUGGUGAUUUGCGGUUGAAGGGUUUGCUCUAAAGGAAAGGAUACCGGAACGUCAAGUGGGCAAGCUGGUGGUGAUUUGCGGUUGAAGGGUUUGCUCUAAAGGUGAUGAGGUGGAUCGUAUGGAUGACGGUCAAGCAACGUAGAAGAACCGAACACGACUUUUGAAGCUUCCGCAAUGUUUUAAUCUUACUUAGACUUUGUUCAUGG
rnacentral:lncRNA from 1 species